UACGGAAGGCAGCAGUGGGGAAUAUUGCACAAUGGGCGCAAGCCUGAUGCAGCCAUGCCGCGUGUAUGAAGAAGGCCUUCGGGUUGUAAAGUACUUUCAGUCGUGAGGAAGGUGUUAAGGUUAAUAACCUUAGCAAUUGACGUUAGCGACAGAAGAAGCACCGGCUAACUCCGUGCCAGCAGCCGCGGUAAUACGGAGGGUGCGAGCGUUAAUCGGAAUUACUGGGCGUAAAGGGCACGCAGGCGGUUAAUUAAGUUGGAUGUGAAAUCCCCGGGCUUAACCUGGGAAUGGCAUUCAAGACUGGUUAGCUAGAGUCUUGUAGAGGGGGUAGAAUUCCAUGUGUAGCGGUGAAAUGCGUAGAGAUGUGGAGGAAUACCGGUGGCGAAGGCGGCCCCUGGACAAAGACUGACGCUCAUGUGCGAAAGCGUGGGGAG
rnacentral:rRNA from 1 species